rnacentral:sRNA from 1 species
GGUUAUUUUUAUGCUU